GAUGAACGCUGGCGGCAUGCCUAAUACAUGCAAGUCGAACGAGAGGAAGGAAAGCUUGCUUUUCUGAAUCUAGUGGCGAACGGGUGAGUAACACGUAGGUAACCUGCCCAUGUGCCCGGGAUAACUUCUGGAAACGGAUGCUAAAACCGGAUAGGUAGCAGACAAGCAUUUGACUGCUAUUAAAGUGGCUAAGGCCAUGAACAUGGAUGGACCUGCGGUGCAUUAGCUAGUUGGUGAGGUAACGGCCCACCAAGGCGACGAUGCAUAGCCGGCCUGAGAGGGCGGACGGCCACAUUGGGACUGAGACACGGCCCAAACUCCUACGGGAGGCAGCAGUAGGGAAUUUUCGUCAAUGGGGGGAACCCUGAACGAGCAAUGCCGCGUGAGUGAGGAAGGUCUUCGGAUCGUAAAGCUCUGUUGUAAGAGAAAAACGACAUUCAUAGGGAAUGAUGAGUGAGUGAUGGUAUCUUACCAGAAAGUCACGGCUAACUACGUGCCAGCAGCCGCAUAA
rnacentral:rRNA from 1 species